AUGUUUUGGUAGCUUUCUUCUUCCAGACCCUGCUGCUCCCCUUUAUAAAGAAAACAACUCUCCCAAAUUUGGAGGUGACUUCCCUGGAGGCAAGAAUCUAAUUGUGUCUCUGUGUCUGGCAACGGUGGAUGGAGGGGUGGUAUAUGCCUAUAGCUCAACGCAGUAAGACUCUGAAGUUGAAGUUGACCUGUACUGUGGGACAGCACAAGCCUGUGCCAUUGCUGUUUGAAGAUAGGGAGGUCCUUGGAAAGAGGCAAAGAGUUCUUUCUGGCUGUGGUUCCCCUGUCUUAUCUCCAUGGUCCCUGGCUAAUACAGGCACGUUUAUGCCAUGCAUUCGGAGGUGCCAGACACAACGUGGGUCCCAUAAUAAUAUCCAGUUAAGUGUGACUGUGAAUUGCACGGUCCAAAGAGACACAGUGAAAGAAAAAUGAUGUUAUACUGAUGCAAAAGAUAGGAUGAAAAUAAACAGAAGAACUCAUACAGGUAAAUCUCUAAAAUUAAGUAAAUUAUACUUAUUUUCUAUGUAAAUAAAAAAAAACGAUGUAUUUCUGAUUGCAUAGUUUAUACAUGUCAAUGCGGUAUCAUGAUCUAUUUUGUGUUAACUGUGUACUAAGUAGGCUACAGUAAACAAAACACAAAAAAAGUGCUGAAAUCAUUUAGUUUCAAUUUAAAAUAACCUUGUAUUAUUUUCACAUUGUACAGUAGCCUAAUGUGUAUAAUGGAGCAGCACUGAUUUUGUGUUACUUGGAAGCCUGUACACUAAAGUAAAAAGAAAGUGUGCUAGGUAUUAAUUCGAUUUUACUGCUAUACUGUAUACUGUAUAGACCUACUGUGCAGAUUUAUAUUUUAACAUAAUGCUUACAGAGAACACAGUGAUGUUAUUUCAGCGCAAUGAUUUAUACAUUUGAAAUAAACUGUACUAUAAAUGUAUGUGUGUGCAUUUUUUUUUUAAACUGACAUGUCUGGUUUAGUGAGGGAAUACUGCAUUUUGGGUUAAAUUUUGUAUGCUCAUUUUACUGUUUUUUUAAAGUAAGAUACAGACACUAUUCAAUUAGUAAUCUACAAAGUUAAUUACUGAAACAGAUCUGACUGAAACUAAAUAUUUUUUUAUCAGUUAUAAGAGAAGAAAAUCACUCUUGAGUAAAUACAGUUUUUAGGGAUUUG